AUACGGAGGAUGCGAGCGUUAUCCGGAUUUAUUGGGUUUAAAGGGUGCGUAGGCUGUGCGUUAAGUCAGGGGUGAAAUGCCGUCGCUCAACGACGGAGCUGCCCUUGAUACUGGCGUGCUGGAGUACGGAUGCCGUUGGAGGAAUGAGUGGUGUAGCGGUGAAAUGCUUAGAUAUCACUCAGAACACCGAUUGCGAAGGCAUCGGACGAAUCCGUCACUGACGCUGAGGCACGAAAGCGUGGGGAUAGAACAGGAUUAGAUACCCUGGUAUUCCACGCCGUAAACGAUGAUGACUAACCGUCGGCGAUAGACAGCCGGUGGCCAAGCGAAAGCGAUAAGUCAUCCACCUGGGAGUACGUCGGCAACGAUGAAACUCAAAUGAAUUGACGGGG
rnacentral:rRNA from 1 species